ensembl:lncRNA
GUACAGGAGGGGCUUGGCUGCAGCUGAGCUGGAAAGAGGAGGCUCAGGCUCCUGAAUAGAGGUGAGGUGGUGGACUGGCAGCAGGGAGAUGGAGGAGCUCAGCCUGUUUCCCCACUUGUCUGUGACAGCACGUGCAGUCCAGGAACAGGAAGGAACAAGUGGCAGGAUAGCAACAGGGACUUGUGAGUUAUGUAAAAAGAACUGCAUUCUCCUGGGAUGGUACUUGGUGUGAUGCUGCAGGUAGUGUUGAAGAAAUCUUCAUUCAAAGUAUUUGGAGCAAUAAAUUUGAGUUUGGGUUGCAGCGGCUCCUUCAUCCAGCCCAAGGUGGAACCAAACCGUUAUCAGAAGCCUCCCCAGUGCCAUUUGCAAUUUUGCCAAGACUGCACAGGUAUAAGUGAUGGUUGCAUCUGAUCCCUGUGUUCUGACUGCUUUGCUUUGGAGCAGACUGUUUCGCUAGUGCAGAAUGAACGUUUCCUACGGGGGUCAGAACUGGAUGAUCUUUAAGGUCUCUUCCAACCCAAGCCAUUCUAUGAUUCCAUGAGUAUGUUUUUUUGUCUGUAUGCAUAAAGUAUACAUACAUGUAUAAGUGUGUGUGUGUGUGUGUAUAUAUAUGAGAAUGUGUAAUUACACUUCACUGCAGCCACUCAUUUGAGUUAAUGUAGAUCUGCCUGUAAGCUCCCACAUCUAUUUUAUUUAAAGACAAAGUGAUCAGUAGGAACUCCCAAAUCACAAUGAUGGAAAUGUGGUCUGUCUGAUGUCCGAGCAG